rnacentral:rRNA from 1 species
UACGUAGGGGGCAAGCGUUGUCCGGAUUUAUUGGGCGUAAAGAGCGUGUAGGCGGCCAUGCAGGUCCGUUGUGAAAACUCGAGGCUCAACCUCGAGACGCCGGUGGAAACCGUAUGGCUAGAGUCCGGAAGAGGAGAGUGGAAUUCCUGGUGUAGCGGUGAAAUGCGCAGAUAUCAGGAGGAACACCUAUGGCGAAGGCAGCACUCUGGGACGGUACUGACGCUGAGACGCGAAAGCGUGGGGAGCGAACAGG